CUCCCAAACCCCAUGUGAACAUACCUGUUUCGUUCCCUCGGCGGUGUCCGGCAACGGCCCGCCAGAGGACCCAACAAACUCUUUUGAAUUUUUCAGUAUCUUCUGAGUAAAAAAUACAAUAAAUCAAAACUUUCAACAACGGAUCUCUUGGUUCUGGCAUCGAUGAAGAACGCAGCGAAAUGCGAUAAGUAAUGUGAAUUGCAGAAUUCAGUGAAUCAUCGAAUCUUUGAACGCACAUUGCGCCCGCCAGUAUUCUGGCGGGCAUGCCUGUUCGAGCGUCAUUUCAACCCUCAAGCUUAGCUUGGUGUUGGGGAUCGGCAAGGCGUCCUCCGGGUCGCGCCGUCCCCCAAAUUUAGUGGCGGUCUCGCUGUAGCUUCCUCUGCGUAGUAAUACACCUCGCUCUGGAGUCUCGGUGCGACCACGCCGUAAAACCCCCAACUUUUUCUGGUUGACCUCGAAUCAGGUAGGACUACCCGCUGAACUUAAGCAUAUCAAUAAGCGGAGGAAAAGAAACCAACAGGGAUUGCCCUAGUAACGGCGAGUGAAGCGGCAACAGCUCAAAUUUGAAAUCUGGCCCUCGGGUCCGAGUUGUAAUUUGUAGAGGAUGCUUUUGGUGAGGUGCCUUCCGAGUUCCCUGGAACGGGACGCCAUAGAGGGUGAGAGCCCCGUCUGGUUGGACACCAAACCUCUGUAAAGCUCCUUCGACGAGUCGAGUAGUUUGGGAAUGCUGCUCUAAAUGGGAGGUAUAUGUCUUCUAAAGCUAAAUACCGGCCAGAGACCGAUAGCGCACAAGUAGAGUGAUCGAAAGAUGAAAAGCACUUUGAAAAGAGAGUUAAAAAGUACGUGAAAUUGUUGAAAGGGAAGCGCUUAUGACCAGACUUGGACUUGGUUGAUCAUCCUGGGUUCUCCCUGGUGCACUCUUCCAGUUCAGGCCAGCAUCAGUUCGCUGCGGGGGAUAAAAGUUUUGGGAAUGUGGCUCCCUCGGGAGUGUUAUAGCCCAUUGCAUAAUACCCUGCUCCGGACUGA
rnacentral:rRNA from 1 species